rnacentral:rRNA from 1 species
UACGUAGGGUGCGAGCGUUGUCCGGAAUUAUUGGGCGUAAAGAGCUUGUAGGCGGUCUGUCGCGUCUGCUGUGAAAAUCCGGGGCUCAACCCCGGACUUGCAGUGGGUACGGGCAGACUAGAGUGUGGUAGGGGAGACUGGAAUUCCUGGUGUAGCGGUGAAAUGCGCAGAUAUCUGAAAGAACACCAGUGGCGAAGGCGGUCAACUGGCUUUUAACUGACGCUCAGGCACGAAAGCGUGGGUAGCGAACAGG